GCCCCUGUAGCUCAGGUGGACAGAGCAGCAGUUUCCUAAACUGCUUGCCCCGGUUCGAGUCCGGGCAGGGGCACCA
rnacentral:tRNA from 1 species